GAUGAACGCUGGCGGCGUGCUUAACACAUGCAAGUCGAACGGGAUCCAUCAGGCUUUGCUUGGUGGUGAGAGUGGCGAACGGGUGAGUAAUGCGUGACCGACCUGCCCCAUACACCGGAAUAGCUCCUGGAAACGGGUGGUAAUGCCGGAUGCUCCAGUUGAUCGCAUGGUCUUCUGGGACAGCUUUCGCGGUAUGGGAUGGGGUCGCGUCCUAUCAGCUUGACGGCGGGGUAACGGCCCACCGUGGCUUCGACGGGUAGCCGGCCUGAGAGGGCGACCGGCCACAUUGGGACUGAGAUACGGCCCAGACUCCUACGGGAGGCAGCAGUGGGGAAUAUUGCACAAUGGGCGCAAGCCUGAUGCAGCGACGCCGCGUGAGGGAUGGAGGCCUUCGGGUUGUAAACCUCUUUUAUCGGGGAGCAAGCGAGAGUGAGUUUACCCGUUGAAUAAGCACCGGCUAACUACGUGCCAGCAGCCGCAGUAAAAC
rnacentral:rRNA from 1 species